CCCUCUCUCUCCCUUCCUCGACAUUUGUCAGAAAAAAAGUUGAUUUUACAGACCGUCAACGAGGGAAGGAAACAGAAGAUGAAGGAAGAGAGGAGAAAGAGAGGCAAAGGGGGGGAUAAAAAUGAGGAAUACACAAAUAGAGGGAGAAGAGGAAGAAACCAGAGGAGAUUUAAAAGAGACUAAAUAGGGAGUAGUAAGUACAGAGAGAGAGAGAGAGAGAAGCAUUAGGGAAGGAUAGAAGGGGAGAGAGGACAGGAAAGGAAACGAGAGGGAAGGUGGAAGAAGGAAAGAAGAGUCAGAGGAAAGGAAGCGUGAAACAAUAAGAGAAGAAGAAAACAGAUGAUGAGGACAAAAAAGAGCUGAUGUUUCUGUUGUUAAUCACCUCCUUUCCUCCCUCCUUCCUCCCCUUUCUCUCCUCUUUCUCAUUUCCAUCUUCACUCACUCCCUUCCCCACUUUUUUAUUUUCCUUCUUUCCUUCCCAUCAUCUCUUUCUGUCUCCAUCACUCCUUCCGUACUCUCAUCUCCUCCUCUCCCCUCCUAAACCCUUUGUCCUUUCCUCCUUCCUUUUACAUCAUCUCCUUAUCUCCUUCUCUCUGCUUCUUGUUCAAAGUUAAAAAAUACAUCUCAUUUAAAAGCUGCAGGUUUUUAGAGGAGUUUUUGUUUACACUGAGAUUGGCUUCAUGUCACAAACUAUUUAGAUAAAUAUUGAAUAUUGAAAUAAUCAAAGCAACCGAAAAAGUUUUAAAUGUUCAAACAAAACAAAAAACAAUAAUCCAAGAUGGCCGAGACAGAAUUGCAGAGAUUGAGGCUUCAAAACAUCAGAGUAGCGAUGAGUAGCGUUACCACGACAACAUACAGUAUUAUCUGUUAGCACUGUUAGCUGUUAGCACUGUUAGCUGUUAGCACUGUUCGCUUCCAAAAUGCAUCUCAAACAUGAGGAGUUAUUUUCAUUAUCAGUUUAUUAUUAUUACAUGUUGUUAGCGGCAUUUUAUUAAAGGUUAAGGAACGAGAAUAAUUGAUUCACACUCAGUUUGUCUCCACGUCAUCGUGACACAUCAACACAAUCCUAAAAUCAGGGAGUCAAACGGUUAAGUGAGGAAGGACGACAGAUUGAAGGGAGGGAAAUUAAUGACCAAACAAAUGAAGGUUGAAAGGAAUGAAUGGAGACACUCGAGGAGGGAGAUGAGGGAAGAAGGACAGCUUAUGAGGAGUAAUGAUGAAUUAUAGAAGUUUGUCCCGAGGCUGAAGAGUCACUGUGGAGGGAGGGGGGGGGCCUGGAUGAAUGGAUGGGUGAGGGGUGAAGGGGGGAGAGAAAGUAGAGACACAGAGAAAGCAUGGGAAGGGAUGAAAGAGAAGAAUUAGGCCAAAGCCAAAUGGAACAGGGAAGACGGGGGAGAGAGAGAGAGAGAGAGAGAGAGAGAGGUGUGUGUGGGUCAAUACGUUUUGUCAGCGAACAGCGCAGAACAUCAUGGAAUGACCCGCCUCCUGUUGUCGUGGAAACCGAGGGGAAGCUCCCUCAUCUAUGGGGGAGGGAUUUGAUGUGUCAGAUAUUCUUCACCUUCAAUUCUUCGUCCAUGAAAAUGGAGCCGGUAGUUUUUCCCAUGAUCCCGUUGACCUAGAUACCAACAAGCGUUAGCGGGACUCCAUCAGGACGGCUCCCGUGGUUUUGUCUCAGCUAUCGGAUUCUUUAAAUGCUGUAAAGACAAUCAUGUUCCCCAGAGGAUGUGUCUGUGUGGGGGGGGGUUCUAGGUGUUGACAUCAAAGGGGGGCUUGAUAGAAACAUUUUGGGAACCACUGACUUAAAUAAUCAUCACCUCAUCUUACAGUUCAGGUUUGUAGAUGUUUUGAUUGCUGGAUGAAGUCCUUUUUUCUGACAAUCAGCAUCUUCAGGUAAUCACCUGUGAAAACAGGACACAGCCUACGGGAGCCUCAGUUAAGAGCAGCCUCCUUGUAGUUGUUUUGUGCCUCUUUGUAGUUGUUUUGUGUCACUUUGUAGUUGUUGGGUCUUUGUAGUUGUUUUGUGCCUCUUUGUAGUUGUUUUGUGUCACUUUGUAGUUCUUGGGUUUUUGUAGUUGUUUUGUGCCUCUUUGUAGUUGUUUUGUGUCACUUUGUAGUUGUUGGGUCUUUGUAGUUGUUUUGUGUCUCUUUGUAGUUGUUUUGUGGGCCUUUGAAGUAGUUUUACGGGUCUUUGUAGUUGUUUUGUGUCUCUUUGAAGUAGUUUUGUGUCUCUUUGAAGUAGUUUUGUGUCUCUUUGUAGUAGUUUUGUGGCUCUUUGAAAGUAGUUUUGUGUCUCUUUGAAAGUAGUUUUGUGUCUCUUUGUAGUUGUUUUGUGUCUCUUUGUAGUAGUUUUGUGGGUCUUUGUAGUUGUUUUGUGGGUCUUUGUAGUUGUUUUGUGUCUCUUUGAAGUAGUUUUGUGGGUCUUUUUGUAGUUGUUUUGUGUCUCUUUGAAGUAGUUUUGUGGGUCUUUUGUAGUUGUUUUGUGUCUCUUUGAAGUAGUUUUGUGGGUCUUUGUAGUUGUUUUGUGUCUCUUUGAAGUAGUUUUGUGGGUCUUUGUAGUAGUUUUGUGGGUCUUUUUAGUUGUCUUGUGUCUCUUUGUAGUAGUUUUGCGGGUCUUUGUAGUUGUUUUGUGUCAUUUUGUAGUAGUUUUGCGGGUCUUUGUAGUUGUUUUGUGUCUUUUUGUAGUUGUUCUGUGGGUCUUUGAAGUUGUUUUCCUGACUGGAGCUCUGUGUCCCGACGAAAACAUAAAUAUUGUUACGUAAUAUUUUCCUAAAUGUAUAAAGCCCAGUUUUCUGUGUUUUCCUGCUGACACUGCAGCUGUAGCAUGACGUACAACUAGUAGCAUGUAAUAUGUUCUCUCUCCACAUGGAGACCCGCUGUCGUCUCUCAGCACUUCCAGAGCAGAAUUCGCCCGGGUCUUCGUGGCCGCGUGCUGUCACUCAUCCCUCCGUCAGCUCCUCGUGGCCCAAAGAAAGCGGCUCAACACUCCGAUUGCUGUUUUGAUGGCGUGACAAUCCCCGAGAUUCUCACCACGGCGUCACAUCUUUCACCUUCUUUAAUCUCCUGAAACAAAUCGACACGUUCAGCGCCUUCGUUGGUCCCGCUGAGUGUUCUCAUUCCUCAAAGCUGUAGUCCCGUUUCUCAUAAUAUGGUCCAGCUUCUGUCUCUUUGCAUCAGCGCUUGAAGGUUUAUGACCAACUGGAAAGCUUUUAAAAGGGUGACAUGACGUGGCUCUGCAAAACCUCGUUUAUGUAUUCAGCAUUUAUCAGAUCAAUAACAUCUCUUCUGCGCUGAAGGAAGAUUAUUGUAAAGGUGUCCGAGAGAGAAAGGCUGUGUUUUAUUGGCAUAGAUCACAGAAUGCACAGUGGAUCCUGUUUGUACGUAAGAACAUACAGACAGGAUCAUAAAGUAAACGGCGGAAUUCAGUGAUGAACGUGUUUCAGGUUCUUUUCUGUGUCAUUUUAGAUGAAAGGACACUUUGAUUUUAAUGAAGAGAGGGAAAUGCCUGAGGGGAGACCUGGUCAGAGGUGUCCAAAGCAGAUACUGGGGUUUAAAAGUAGCAUCAACUCAAGCGUUUUACUUAAAUAAAAGUAUAAAAGUACUGGUUUCAAAACCACGCAAAGUAUAAAAGUAAAAGUAAUGUAAGGGAGGAAAAUGUGUGGCCUCACUCACGGAACAUGAACAGAACGACACACGUUGUUCCCAUUGAUCAGGUCGGGGGCGUCAAUCUCAUUCCAGGUUCGGGUCAGAUACGUCCACUCCGACCGACCGCGGGCCAGACCUUUGACACCAUCGGGCGGCGCGGACCGGCGAGCGGUGCAGGCGGGCCGCGUGUUUGAGCGCCAUGGAUCAGGUAGAACCGCAGUGUCUCCCCGGGUUUACUUCAUGGUUAUAAUGGUGGGAAACACUGAACCGGGAGCGUCGGUCAUCGAAACAUCGGCCAAAUGACCCGUUUCAGACUUGAUGAGCAAACACAGAAUCCCGUUGUGUUCGUUUCUGAAGCCGCAUCAAGACACACGUCACUUUAUUCAAGACGCUGUGGGCUUCGUGUCGCUAAACACGGAACCGACCACUUUUCUCAGCCGCCGUCGCUCUGAAAACCAACCGUGUGUCCGACGGUGAAUGUUUACUCUUCUCAUCCGACCCAAUCAAAGUCACUCCAUCCAGAUGUUGCAAUUCUCCUGGUUAGGUUUUCUUUUGCAGUAACAAGGCUACUUUUAAAAUGUAGAGUAGAAGUAAAAAGUAAAAAUGAAUACUCCUGUAAAGUACAAAUACCCAAAUUCCUACUUAAGUACGGUGAGAAAGUAUUUGUACUUGACAGCUGCGGACCUGGUGGACGUGAUGGGACAAGACGGAGACGACUUCAGGACAUGGACUUGGACACUCGUGAGGUCACGUUUCAGCUCAAAGUCUCAUGGUCAAAGACAGAGCCGAGGACACAAAGACACCGGGAGGCUAGAAAGGGACUCGAGCGCCGGCCCGCAGUUUGUUUGAUUGUCUCUCUGUUUGCCGCCCCGUUAUUACGCACAGCCAGUUAGCUCGCUGGCUAAUUCCACCGCCUUUUAAUGCUAAGCUAACGGAAAAACCAGCCCGGCUGGCUGGCAAACGGCGGUAAAGGACAAGCUGCCGAGCUAACUGGUCACUUCGUGGCCCUUCAUCAGAGGACCGGCAGCUGGAGUCCUUCGCCCUCGGACCCCCCCCCACGAUGCGGCUGUGGCCCCCUGCUGUGCGAGCGCUUCGGGGG
ensembl:lncRNA